CGCGGCCUAUCAGCUUGUUGGUGGGGUAACGGCCCACCAAGGCGACGACGGGUAGCCGGCCUGAGAGGGCGACCGGCCACACUGGGACUGAGACACGGCCCAGACUCCUACGGGAGGCAGCAGUGGGGAAUAUUGCACAAUGGGCGAAAGCCUGAUGCAGCGACGCCGCGUGAGGGAUGACGGCCUUCGGGUUGUAAACCUCUUUCAGCAGGGAAGAAGCGAAAGUGACGGUACCUGCAGAAGAAGCGCCGGCUAACUACGUGCCAGCAGCCGCGGUAAUACGUAGGGCGCAAGCGUUGUCCGGAAUUAUUGGGCGUAAAGAGCUCGUAGGCGGCUUGUCACGUCGGAUGUGAAAGCCCGAGGCUUAACCUCGGGUCUGCAUUCGAUACGGGCUAGCUAGAGUGUGGUAGGGGAGAUCGGAAUUCCUGGUGUAGCGGUGAAAUGCGCAGAUAUCAGGAGGAACACCGGUGGCGAAGGCGGAUCUCUGGGCCAUUACUGACGCUGAGGAGCGAAAGCGUGGGGAGCGAACAGGAUUAGAUACCCUGGUAGUCCACGCCGUAAACGUUGGGAACUAGGUGUUGGCGACAUUCCACGUCGUCGGUGCCGCAGCUAACGCAUUAAGUUCCCCGCCUGGGGAGUACGG
rnacentral:rRNA from 1 species